CCCCUUAAAAUGGGUUCUAGAGCAGGUCUUCUGUUCCAGAAGGGGAGAAGCAUAGAGGGCCUGUGAGCUCACAUGUGUUCUUUGUCAUAGGGGUGAAAAACUAACUUCAAGUGUCCCUUGUUUGAAAUAAACUUAGCAGAGUCACUUUCUAUCAUCUUAUUUGUUUGUUCACUGUGUGUUUGACUGUAUUUCAAAGCACAUUAUUUCAUAGAAGACCCUAGGCAGUUGAACUCCAAAGUCAGCCCCUAUAAACCUCAAGUUCAUAAUGUAGCAGAACAGUAAUAGGAAAGUCCUAGGCUAAUGUUCAGACGAUCAGAGCUUGGCCAGUGCUGGCAACACCUUUAUCUCAGUGCCUACUCAGCUGUGAAUCCUCUGAAGUUCAUUUUUUCAUAUCAAUAUUGUAUUUUUCAUCUCUAUAAAUUCCAUUUGGGUCUUUUAAUAAAUAUCUUACAUGUUUUACAUUAUA
rnacentral:antisense_RNA from 1 species